rnacentral:rRNA from 1 species
GACGAACGCUGGCGGCGUGCUUAACACAUGCAAGUCGAACGGAAAGGCCCUGCUUUUGUGGGGUGCUCGAGUGGCGAACGGGUGAGUAACACGUGAGUAACCUGCCCUUGACUUUGGGAUAACUUCAGGAAACUGGGGCUAAUACCGGAUAGGAGCUCCUGCUGCAUGGUGGGGGUUGGAAAGUUUCGGCGGUUGGGGAUGGACUCGCGGCUUAUCAGCUUGUUGGUGGGGUAGUGGCUUACCAAGGCUUUGACGGGUAGCCGGCCUGAGAGGGUGAACGGCCACAUUGGUACUGAGGUACGGCCCAGUCUGCUACGGGGGGCAGCAGUGGGGAAUAUUACACAGUGGGCGGAAGCCUGAUGCGGCGACUCCGCGUGCGUGAUGACGGCCUUCGGGUUGUAAAGCGCUUUCACCUAUGACGAAGCGUGAGUGACGGUAAUGGGUAAAGAAGCACCGGCUAACUACGUG